AUUGAACGCUGGCGGCAAGCCUAACACAUGCAAGUCGAACGAGUGGCGGACGGGUGAGUAAUGUCUGGGAAACUGCCUGAUGGAGGGGGAUAACUACUGGAAACGGUAGCUAAUACCGCAUACCAUCGGCAGUGACCAGAUGGGAUUGGCUAGUAGGUGGGGUAAAGGUUCACCUAGGCGACGAUCCCUAGCUGGGCUGAGAGGAUGAACAGCCACACUGGAACUGCGACACGGUCCAGAUUCCUACGGGAGGCAGCAGUGUGGAAUAUUGCACAAUGGGCGCAAGCCUGAUGCAGCCAUGCCGCGUGUAUGAAGAAGGCCUUCGGGUUGUAAAGUACUUUCAGCGGGGAGGCGUUACCCGCAGAAGAAGCACCGGCUAACUCCGUGCCAGCCGCCGCGGUAAUAC
rnacentral:rRNA from 1 species